rnacentral:tRNA from 1 species
AAUCAAUUAGUUAUUAAUAGAUAGGUAAACUCUUAAUCAAUUGGUCGGGAGUUCGAACCUCCCACGACCCACCA